rnacentral:rRNA from 1 species
CUGUACUUGGUGUUACUGCGAAGGGGGGACGGAGAAGGCUAUGUUAGCCGGGCGACGGUUGUCCCGGUUUAAGCAUGUAGGCGGAGGUUCCAGGUAAAUCCGGUACCUUUUUAACGCUGAGGUGUGAUGACGAGGCACUACGGUGCUGAAGUAACAAAUGCCCUGCUUCCAGGAAAAGCCUCUAAGCAUCAGGUAACAUU